GGUUGCCUACCCCUGGGUUAGAGUAUUGGACUUUGACUCUGGAGACCAGGGUUCAAAUCCCUGGUGAGCCA